rnacentral:rRNA from 1 species
GUGGGGAAUAUUGGACAAUGGGCGAAAGCCUGAUCCAGCCAUGCCGCGUGUGUGAAGAAGGUCUUCGGAUUGUAAAGCACUUUAAGUUGGGAGGAAGGGCAGUAAGUUAAUACCUUGCUGUUUUGACGUUACCGACAGAAUAAGCACCGGCUAACUUCGUGCCAGCAGCCGCGGUAAUACGAAGGGUGCAAGCGUUAAUCGGAAUUACUGUGCGUAAAGCGCGCGUAGGUGGUUUUGUAAGUUGGAGGUGAAAUCCCCGGGCUCAACCUGGGAACUGCCUCCAAAACUGCAUGACUAGAGUACGGUAGAGGGUAGUGGAAUUUCCUGUGUAGCGGUGAAAUGCGUAGAUAUAGGAAGGAACACCAGUGGCGAAGGCGACUACCUGGACUGAUACUGACACUGAGGUGCGAAAGCGUGGGGAGCAAACAGGAUUAGAUACCCCGGUAGUCC